UACGGGGGGAGCAAGCGUUGUUCGGAUUUACUGGGCGUAAAGGGCGCGUAGGCGGACAGUUUAGUCAGAGGUGAAAGCCCAGGGCUCAACCUUGGAAUUGCCUUUGAUACUGGCUGUCUUGAGUUCGGGAGAGGUGAGUGGAAUGCCGAGUGUAGAGGUGAAAUUCGUAGAUAUUCGGCGGAACACCAGUGGCGAAGGCGACUCACUGGCCCGAUACUGACGCUGAGGCGCGAAAGCGUGGGGAGCAAACAGG
rnacentral:rRNA from 1 species